UUGGCGGACGGGUGAGUAACGCGUGGGGAACCUGCCCUGUACAGGGGGAGUAACACUUAGAAAUAGGUGCUAAUACCGCAUAAAGCGCACAGUAUCGCAUGAUACAGUGUGAAAAACUCCGGUGGUACAGGAUGGACCCGCGUCUGAUUAGCUGGUUGGCGGGGUAACGGCCCACCAAGGCGACGAUCAGUAGCCGGCCUGAGAGGGUGAACGGCCACAUUGGGACUGAGACACGGCCCAAACUCCUACGGAAGGCAGCAG
rnacentral:rRNA from 1 species